UCCAUAACUUCUGACCGUUUUUGUAAAACAUCAGCACUCGAGGUCUGACAGUAUUUUACCAAGAAAUGCACAAAAUAUUCAAAAAGAAGGCAUAGAAAAUUUAAAUAUUGGACAAGAACUAUAGAAGAUACAGAGACAUAAUAUACAGCAGAAAUGAUAGGCAAUGUAAAAUUUGCAGAAGCCAACUAAACCUAAAUGGUGAUCAGACAUCUCGGUUUUCAUGAUCAAUAGGUCAUUACUGAAGAGGAAACUUAAAGUUGAAAUUUAUUUACAUAGUGCAUAAUUGGAUUAAUUUGAAAUGGAAUGUGUGCUUUCCUGCAAAAAAGAAAUAGGAAAUUAUAACAUGUGAUAAUGACUAUAUAAAACAAAAUGAAGUUCUAUCAUAGAUACCAUAAAACACUAUUGCAUAAAAGCAACAGCAUAUCUUAAUCAAAAGAAAGGAGAAUGCAGAACAAAUACUAUUUUGCUGUUGAAAAAAGGAACACCAGUUUUAUCCACUCAUUUACAUCGCUCCCUCAUAUCAAAUAUACAGAAGAAGAUCAUUGAAGAACAAUUUGCAAAAAUGAUUUCUCUUA